GGCAAAAGCUCAAAUUUGAAAUCUGGCACCUUCGGUGUCCGAGUUGUAAUUUGAAGAAGGUAACUUUGGAGUUGGCUCUUGUCUAUGUUCCUUGGAACAGGACGUCACAGAGGGUGAGAAUCCCGUGCGAUGAGAUGCCCAAUUCUAUGUAAAGUGCUUUCGAAGAGUCGAGUUGUUUGGGAAUGCAGCUCUAAGUGGGUGGUAAAUUCCAUCUAAAGCUAAAUAUUGGCGAGAGACCGAUAGCGAACAAGUACAGUGAUGGAAAGAUGAAAAGAACUUUGAAAAGAGAGUGAAAAAGUACGUGAAAUUGUUGAAAGGGAAGGGCUUGAGAUCAGACUUGGUAUUUUGCGAUCCUUUCCUUCUUGGUUGGGUUCCUCGCAGCUUACUGGGCCAGCAUCGGUUUGGAUGGUAGGAUAAUGACUAAGGAAUGUGGCUCUACUUCGGUGGAGUGUUAUAGCCUUGGUUGAUACUGCCUGUCUAGACCGAGGACUGCGUCUUUUGACUAGGAUGUUGGCAUAAUGAUCUUAAGCCACCCGUCUU
rnacentral:rRNA from 1 species